AACGAACGCUGGCGGCAUGCCUAACACAUGCAAGUCGAACGAGACCUUCGGGUCUAGUGGCGCACGGGUGCGUAACGCGUGGGAACCUGCCCUUAGGUUCGGAAUAACUCCCCGAAAGGGGUGCUAAUACCGGAUAAUGUCUUCGGACCAAAGAUUUAUCGCCUUUGGAUGGGCCCGCGUUGGAUUAGCUAGUUGGUAGGGUACAAGCCUACCAAGGCGACGAUCCAUAGCUGGUCUGAGAGGAUGAUCAGCCACACUGGGACUGAGACACGGCCCAGACUCCGACGGGAGGCAGCAGUGGGGAAUAUUGGACAAGGGGCGAAAGCCUGAUACAGCAAUGCCGCGUGAGUGAUGAAGGCCUUAGGGUUGUAAAGCUCUCUGACCCGGGAUGAUAAUGACAGUACCGGGAGAAGAAGCUCCGGCUAACUCCGUG
rnacentral:rRNA from 1 species